rnacentral:rRNA from 1 species
UUAAGUGACUAAGCGUACACGGUGGAUGCCUGGGCAGUCAGAGGCGAUGAAGGACGUACUAACUUGCGAUAAGCGCAGAUAAGGCAGUAAGAGCCGUUUGAGUCUGCGAUUUCCGAAUGGGGAAACCCAACUGCAUAAGCAGUUACUGUUAACUGAAUACAUAGGUUAACAGAGCAAACCGGGGGAACUGAAACAUCUAAGUACCCCGAGGAGAAGAAAUCAACCGAGAUUCCGGUAGUAGCGGCGAGCGAACCUGGAUUAGCCCUUAAGCACUCGGUGAAGUAGGUGAACAAGCUGGAAAGCUUGGCGAUACAGGGUGAUAGCCCCGCAACCGACGCUUCAUCGAGCGUGAAAUCGAGUAGGGCGGGACACGUGAUAUCCUGUCUGAAUAUGGGGGGACCAUCCUCCAAGGCUAAAUACUCCUGACUGACCGAUAGUGAACCAGUACCGUGAGGGAAAGGCGAAAAGAACCCCUGUGAGGGGAGUGAAAUAGAACCUGAAACCGUGUACGUACAAGCAGUAGGAGCACCUUCGUGGUGUGACUGCGUACCUUUUGUAUAAUGGGUCAGCGACUUAUAUUCAGUGGCAAGGUUAACCGUAUAGGGGAGCCGUAGCGAAAGCGAGUCUUAACUGGGCGGCUCAGUCUCUGGAUAUAGACCCGAAACCGGGUGAUCUAGCCAUGGGCAGGUUGAAGGUUGAGUAACAUCAACUGGAGGACCGAACCGACUAAUGUUGAAAAAUUAGCGGAUGACUUGUGGCUAGGGGUGAAAGGCCAAUCAAACUCGGAGAUAGCUGGUUCUCCCCGAAAGCUAUUUAGGUAGCGCCUCGGACGAAUACUACUGGGGGUAGAGCACUGUUAAGGCUAGGGGGUCAUCCCGACUUACCAACCCUUUGCAAACUCCGAAUACCAGUAAGUACUAUCCGGGAGACACACGGCGGGUGCUAACGUCCGUCGUGGAGAGGGAAACAACCCAGACCGCCAGCUAAGGUCCCAAAGUAUUGCUAAGUGGGAAACGAUGUGGGAAGGCUCAGACAGCUAGGAUGUUGGCUUAGAAGCAGCCAUCAUUUAAAGAAAGCGUAAUAGCUCACUAGUCGAGUCGGCCUGCGCGGAAGAUGUAACGGGGCUAAGCAAUACACCGAAGCUGCGGCAAUGUCUUUUAGACAUUGGGUAGGGGAGCGUUCUGUAAGCCGUUGAAGGUGAAUCGUAAGGUUUGCUGGAGGUAUCAGAAGUGCGAAUGCUGACAUGAGUAACGACAAAGGGGGUGAAAAACCUCCUCGCCGGAAGACCAAGGGUUCCUGUCCAACGUUAAUCGGGGCAGGGUGAGUCGACCCCUAAGGUGAGGCCGAAAGGCGUAAUCGAUGGGAAACGGGUUAAUAUUCCCGUACUUCUGACUAUUGCGAUGGGGGGACGGAGAAGGCUAGGUGGGCCAGGCGACGGUUGUCCUGGUUCAAGUGCGUAGGCUUGAGAGUUAGGUAAAUCCGGCUCUCUCUAAGGCUGAGACACGACGUCGAGCUACUACGGUAGUGAAGUCAUUGAUGCCAUGCUUCCAGGAAAAGCCUCUAAGCUUCAGAUAGUCAGGAAUCGUACCCCAAACCGACACAGGUGGUCGGGUAGAGAAUACCAAGGCGCUUGAGAGAACUCGGGUGAAGGAACUAGGCAAAAUGGUACCGUAACUUCGGGAGAAGGUACGCUCUUGAUGGUGAAGUCCCUCGCGGAUGGAGCUGACGAGAGCCGCAGAUACCAGGUGGCUGCAACUGUUUAUUAAAAACACAGCACUGUGCAAAAUCGCAAGAUGACGUAUACGGUGUGACGCCUGCCCGGUGCCGGAAGGUUAAUUGAUGGGGUUAGCGCAAGCGAAGCUCUUGAUCGAAGCCCCGGUAAACGGCGGCCGUAACUAUAACGGUCCUAAGGUAGCGAAAUUCCUUGUCGGGUAAGUUCCGACCUGCACGAAUGGCGUAAUGAUGGCCACGCUGUCUCCACCCGAGACUCAGUGAAAUUGAAAUCGCUGUGAAGAUGCAGUGUACCCGCGGCUAGACGGAAAGACCCCGUGAACCUUUACUACAGCUUGGCACUGAACAUUGAACCUACAUGUGUAGGAUAGGUGGGAGGCUAUGAAGACGUGACGCCAGUUGCGUUGGAGCCGUCCUUGAAAUACCACCCUUGUAUGUUUGAUGUUCUAACUUAGACCCAUUAUCUGGGUUGAGGACAGUGCCUGGUGGGUAGUUUGACUGGGGCGGUCUCCUCCCAAAGAGUAACGGAGGAGCACGAAGGUGGGCUAAUCACGGUUGGACAUCGUGAGGUUAGUGCAAUGGCAUAAGCCCGCUUAACUGCGAGAAUGACGGUUCGAGCAGGUGCGAAAGCAGGUCAUAGUGAUCCGGUGGUUCUGUAUGGAAGGGCCAUCGCUCAACGGAUAAAAGGUACUCCGGGGAUAACAGGCUGAUACCGCCCAAGAGUUCAUAUCGACGGCGGUGUUUGGCACCUCGAUGUCGGCUCAUCACAUCCUGGGGCUGAAGUCGGUCCCAAGGGUAUGGCUGUUCGCCAUUUAAAGUGGUACGCGAGCUGGGUUUAGAACGUCGUGAGACAGUUCGGUCCCUAUCUGCCGUGGGCGUUGGAAGAUUGAAGGGGGCUGCUCCUAGUACGAGAGGACCGGAGUGGACGAACCUCUGGUGUUCGGGUUGUGUCGCCAGACGCAUUGCCCGGUAGCUAAGUUCGGAAUUGAUAAGCGCUGAAAGCAUCUAAGCGCGAAGCGAGCCCUGAGAUGAGUCUUCCCUGACAGUUUAACUGUCCUAAAGGGUUGUUCGAGACUAGAACGUUGAUAGGCAGGGUGUGUAAGCGUUGUGAGGCGUUGAGCUAACCUGUACUAAUUGCCCGUGAGGCUUAACCAU